rnacentral:lncRNA from 1 species
GCAGUUAUCGUAAAUCAGGGUUGCGACAACUACCACAUAUUCAUGGAGAACUCUCUCUACAAAUAUGCAAGAUAUUCUAAACAUGAUAUCAAUGCAUUACAAUAGAAUUCAUAAUAAAUUAAUUUUAAAAUUAAACUAACUAAAAUCAACUUUUAUCUCUCACAAAAUUUGAAUAACAUUCAAAAGGUCUUUCAUUAAUUAAACCGCAAAUAAUAAUCUUGUAGAAUAUAGUAAUAAGUCUACUUUUAUACUCGAUUGAUACUAUCAACUCUUGCUUCUAACUCACUCCCAAAGCAAUAUCCACAUCCAUAAUUAAGAAUAUGAAUCUAAAAAAAAAAAGAAGAAGAGAUAAUGAACUUGAUAGUCCAGUAAGUAAUAAAUAUCUCAACUAGACAUCUUAGAUAUUAUCAUAAGAUAUGAUGCUCAAAAAUAAAUACUAUAAAUAUUAUAAAAAUAUAUAUUCUAUGCUAAUUAAUACAAAUCAAAUAUUUUUAAAUACUCAUAUACAUACAUAAUCAUAAAUUCAAUUCAAAAUAAAAUAUAUAUAACUCAACAACCUUAAUUAUGACCAUACUUAUUCCUAUAGCAGGGUCAGAACAGAGUGAUAAUAUAUAAUCCCACUGGCAGGGUCCAAAAAUCAAUACAUGACUUCCACGAGCAAAGUCCAAAAAUCAAUACAUAACUCCAUUGGCCGAGUGCAAAAAUCAAUGUAUAAUCUUGAUUGGUAAGAUUCAAAAAUCAACGUAUAACCUCUAUUGACAGGGUCCAAAACAUAAUUAGGCUGAGAACACAAAAUCCGAUCCGUAUCAAAAAAAACUUUUGCAACAGAACAUAUAAGCAUCAUAAUUCUAUUAAACAUAUGUAUAUUCCACAAUAAUCAGUAAAUCAUAAUAUUUCAAAAAUCUUAAAUUUUUGCAAUCACUUUCAUUCAAAAAAUAGUUUGUUAAAUCAUGCAUAGCUUCAAAGACCAAUUAUUUGCAUUCAAAAUAAAUUAUGAAAUAUCUCGAAAAGAUAGUUUACUAUUUAUCUCUGCAGAACACUGAACGAACAGAUUCAGUCAAUCUUGAGAGAAUCUUUUAGAAUCAAUUAUUCAAAAUAUAUUCUUCUAUCAGUCUUAAACUAUAAUCAAUAAAAAAUUCUAAGUUACGACAUCCUCACAAAACUGAUCAAAAAUAGUAGCAUCCAACGUCUUAGUUAGUUCAAUCAAAAUAAUUUUAUCUGAUCAUGCUUUAGAAUAAGAAGCAGAUGGUCUAAUAAAGAUCAAGGGUGAUCAAAUCUAUUAGUGUCUGAUAAAAGUCAAAGUAGAAGUCAGUACACCAAUUGAGAGUCAAAAAUUAAUUUGAUCAAGUAGCUUUAUUUAAUCAGGAUCAUUUAACAUAAAAUGAUCUAAUAAAGAUCAAAAGGACCAAAUCUUGUGAUAUUGGAUAAAAACUCAGAUGGUGUGGGCAUGUUGUCUAAUUGACAGAGUAGUUCGAAACCCUCUACUUGAAUCAACUCAUAUUUAAGGUGAUAGAUCAUGUUCACUGGAUUCAUAAAUCACAUAGUGAAGAAAAUAUCAAAAGAAAAAUAAAUUAAAAAGAUGGAACAGAGCUAAUCAGAUGAUACUAUCCGAUAAUUCGAUCGGUCUAAUCAAGAUGAUUUAAUCAAAUCAUGAUUGAAUUAGUAUAUACAUGAUUCAAUAAAAAUUAUAGAUAAUUGAACCUAAUGAUAUCUAGAUCUAACCAAGAUGGAUGUCGGUACGUUAUCCGACGGCCGUGGAUCAGGACUUUCUUUAUUAAGGUCAAAUUAGAAUCACUGAGAGAAGGCUUUUUACUCGAUCAAUUUUAAAGAGAUAAUUUUAUAGAGAGAAAAUCUGUAGAGAAAAAAAGAGAAACUUUCUAGAGAAAAAAAGUGGGGAUGCAAACUCAGAAAAGAUUGAGAGGAAAGAGAGAGAAACUCUCUCUUCUUCUUUUUUUCUUCUUCUUCUUCUUUUCUCUUGUGGGUUCUUUACAAAAUAGGGACCGUCAUCCUCUUAUUUCUUGAAGUGGAGGAAUACCCCAAUUGGUGGUGCUCAUGGUCGAAAGGGCAAACCACAAUGGUGCGACCCAAGGCCCCUGGUCCGAUGAUUGAUGACGAUGGCGGCGGUGAAGAAAAUAAAAAUAAAUAUGAAAAAAAUAAGGAAAAUUCACAAGCUUGUUUUUUUUUCACAAAAAAUCCGACGAUUCUCGGUAGGAAUCAAGGUCUAAGGGCUAGGAACAGUGGAGAGAAAGAUCAGCUAGUAUUUUAGAGAACUCUUACCUCACCUUCAGCAAAGUUUUUCUGGCAAACACCACUAUGAAUCAAGUCCUCGGCUCUAGAAAAAAUUAGGAAAGAAAAAAGGUUGGGCUCAGACGAUUGAUCUUAGUGGAGUAUUAGAGCCUUUAAAUAGAUGCUACUGGGAGGAUUGGAGAUCAAAAUAGGUUGAAUCUGAAUCAAAUUAAGCCUCCUUUCAGUCAGAAAGAAAGGAAGAAAGAACUCCUUCGAGAGUUUCAGUUGGUUGUCCAUAGCCCAGCAUGUGCUGGCUUAAAAAUUUUGCUUUUUUUCAGUGCUUUAGAGAUCGUAUUAUAUCUUUUGGGCUUGAGUCUGAAUGGGAACCGGGGUAUUACAAUGUGUUUCUUGAAAAGUUUGUUAUUGAAUUCUCAGUAAAAGUUAGCUUUUUUUCGUGCAUUAUUUGUUUGGUAGAUCUAAGUGAAGAUAAUAUUGUCAAAUAAAUGAUCUUCUUAAUUUGUCCAUAAAAAGAUGAGGUGAUAUUUUGCUGCACACAUUGUUCAUGUGUAUUACAUGUCUCAAACCAGAUGCAAGAUGACUUGAUUCUAGUAUAUGUGGAAUGUUCUCUAAAUUAUCCAGGUAAUUUUGAUAAGCAGAUAGUUGAGUAGUGUUUCCUUUCCAUUAUGUAUUACUUGAAAAGGAUUCAAAUUUAAAAUGUUAUGUAUUACUUAGUCAAUACAACUAUAUAAGCACGGGGCGUUUUCGUACUUGGCAUUCUUAAGCCCAAUAUUAUUAUAUAGCCCACAAAUCCAAAGCCCAAGGGCAAAUUUUGCGAUCAGUUGUACAUAUAGUAAAGCAUAGAAUAUAGAUCAGUGAUCAGUCCACCAUAAAUAUUUCUUUGAGAGUGGAAUUGAAACGAAGCGUUGACGUGACAACAAGAGCAACGAGCUAACAUGGUCUAGUGCCGACAUGCUAGCGCAAAUGCCCAGUCAGGCAACUUCUCAAACAAGUGGCGUGCGAGUUCGGGUAGCAAGAUUUCACACAAAGCAGGGCAAAGACGUGGAGGAUGGUCGCGAACAGAAGGAUGAGAGUAAAGUCAACAAGUCGCUCAGAUCCAUGUCGGUGUCCGUUCCGUUGAAUGUUGAAUUCGGUUCCGUUGGAAUUGGAGGGAUGCAGGAGGAGCGUGAGCUGGGGGUGAAAGCUGACUGCUUGCUUAUUUUACGUGUCAGCAACCUACAAGGAGAGGGUGGACUUGGGGUCAGGAAAUCCCGGUCACAGAGGAUGUGGAUAACCUAUGAAGAGGUGCAAAAUAAUUCCAUGGAAGGUUGAUAGAAAAAUGCACAACUCCUGUCCUUGUUGACCACUUUCGCUGCUUUGUUUAGCAUUUACCAAACACAAAUCCAUAAAUCAAACUGACAAUCUUGUGUCUGAGAAGCUAACAGACUAUGGUAGUGGUGGUAGCGGUGGGGUGUUAAUAGUGACAGCGAAGAUACGGUAGAGGCCAUAACAGAGUUGGUGGGGGAGCGACGAUGGCGAUGAUAAUAGUAACGAUAGUAAUAAAAGAUCUAAUGAUGAUAGUAAUAAUGAUAAUAGUGAUAAUGAUGAUAAUAGUAACGAUAAUAGUGAUAAUGAUGAUAAUAGUAACGAUAGUAAUAAGAUCUAAUGAUGAUAGUAAUAAUGAUGAUAGUAAUAAUGAUAAUAGUGAUCAUAAUAAUGUCAAUAAUGCCAAUAACAAUAGAGAUGGCAUCUAUAAUAAUGGCGGUAAAAGAUCUUAAGUUUUUUUUUNUUUUUUUUUUUUUUUUAAGUCAUGAAAAUAAUAAUUUUUUGAAAAAUCAAAAAUAAAUUGAUUGCACUAAAAUUUAUUUCUUCUCAAGUUUUAUAAGUUAUUAAAAAUAAAAAAGAAAUUUCUUUUUUAUUUUAUAUAUAAAAUUUCUUUCUUCUCAACCGCACCUGGAAUCGGGGGCCAUCGGAUCAAGACGCCAGCCCCGUCACACGUGCAAUCAUUCCUCUCGUUCCAUAUAAAGACUCCCGUACCAGAGCAGAUCCAACGGCUCCGAGAUGAAGACAUAAAAUACCAGACGUUAUGUUGCGCACCUGAAACGCCACGUGGCACUAGUCCACCACUUCUCAUCAGGGCUUUGUUAAAUUAACAGGAGGCGCCGUCUUCCCGCUUCUGGAACCCAGAGUCGAUGGGUGCCCAAUAGAGCGCACCGUUUGUCCUCUUCUCCUCCCCCUCCUCCCCCCCCCGGCCCCCCUUCGGAGGAGACCGGCGCAAGCGUGGAAGCCGAUCUUUGAGAGCGGUUUAGUUUUCUUUUUCCCUUCUUGAAUUUGUGCUUUGGCUUCGCGGAUUGGGGCUUCUUGGUUUUCUCCAAGAGGUCGAAUCGUAUCGGAGAUGGCGAUGGGAUGGUAUCCGGCAGAAACUUGAGCUCCCCUCUCGUAUCAGGUUCUUUUAAGCUUUUCUUGGUCAUCGAUUCUUGGCAUCUUGUCAUCUCAUUUCAAGCAUCUGUUCUGUUGGUAAUUUUUCUUGUUUAUUUUUCUUUCUUUUCUUGGUUUCUCCCAUCAUUAACUUCUAGUUGGAGUUUGUGAAAUCAAAAUUCUGCGCGAUUAAAUGCUGCAUCGGUAUCAGGUUCUUCGAUAUUACUUUUUUUUUGGGUUGUCGAUUCUUGAUCUUCUUCGUGGAUCUGUUCUGUUGGUAUAUUUUCUUGUUUCCCCUUUCCUUCUUGUUUUGAGUUAUCGUUAAUUUCUUGUUGGAAUCUGCAGAUCAAAAUUCCAUGAGAUCACGUGCUGCACUGUUUUCAGGUUCAUUGAUCUUUUUUUCACCCGAUUCUUGACGUCCUGUAAUCUUCUUUUAAGAAACGAUUUUGUUGGUAUUUUUUCUUUUUCUUUCUUUUUCCUUGAUCUUUUAUUGUCUUGUUCAAUCAUAAUUUGUAUCUGAAGUUGUCGUAAUUUAAAUUUAGUGUGAUUAUGUGUUGCAUCGAUGUGUUAGCUAUGAUGGGUAUUUAUUGUUAAAUACUAGUGGAAUUUAGGAAUGUAGGAUGGGAUGGUUCUUGGAGGAUGGAAUAAAUUUUUGGAGUUUUGAUUUGUUAUUUCGUCUUGUAGUUUCUUGCAUAAUGUGUGUAAUACCUCUGUUCCCAUUCAAACUCAAGCCCAAAAGAUAUAGCACGAUCUUUAAAGUACUGAAAAUAAAAAAAGAGAAACUUUUUAAGCAGCACGGGCUGAGCUAUGGAUAGCCAACUAAAACUCUCGAAGGAGUUCUUUCUUCCCUUCUUCCCAAUUGAAAAGAGACCUAAUUUGAUUGGGAUUCAAUUUAUUUUUUUACUCCAAUCUUCCUACUAGCGUCUAUUUAAAAGCUCAGACACUCCUCUCAGAUCAAUUGUUGGAGUCGGACCUUUUUUUUUCCUAAUUUUCUCUGGAGCCUACUUGAUUUACGGUUGUGUUUGUCGAAAAACUUUGCCGGAGGUCAGAUAAGAGUUCUCUAAAGCACUAGCUGAUCUUUCUAUCCAUCAUUCUUGACCUUUAGACUUUGAUUCCGAUCGGCAAUCGUUGAAUUUUCUUUUUUUUUUUAAAGCUUCUAUUUUUUUUUUUUAAUGUUUGUUUUUAUUUUUUUUACCACCAUUGUUGCCGUUAGUCAUUGGACCAAGGCCACUGCUAUGGUUUUCCCUUCUGGCCAUGGGCACCACCAGUUGGGGUAUUCCCUUCCUUCAGAAAAUAAGGGGAUUAUGGUCUCUAUUUUGUAAAGAACCCACUAGAGGAAAGCAAAAAAAAAAAAACCUUUUUCUUUCUACUUUCUUGUCUCUAAAAUUUUUUUUUAAUUUUUUCUCUCUACUUUCUCUCUUUACGAAUUUUCUCUUUUUAAAAUUAUUUUUUUCUAAAAAAUUAUCUCUCUAAGAUUAAUUGGAUAAAAAUUUUCUCUCAAUGAUUUUGAUAUGACUUUAGCAAAGAGAAUCCUAAUCGGUGGUCACCAGACAGUAUACUGGCAUCCAUCUUAACCAGAUCAGAUAUCAUUAGAUUCGAUUAUUUAUGAUUUUUAUUAAAUCAUUUAUACUCUAAUUCAAACAUGACUUUAUUAAAUCAUCUUGAUUAGACUGAUCGGAUUGUCGAAUAAUAUUGUUUGAUUAACUUUAUUUCAUCUUGUUAAUUUAUUGUUCUUCUGAUAUUCUCUCUAUGUGAUUUAUAAAACUAGUGAACUUGAUUUAUUGCUUUAAAUCUGAGUUGAUUUCAGUAGGAGAUUUUGAACUACUCUGUUAAUCAGACAAUAUGCCAACACCAUUCGAGCCUUCAUCUAGUAUCAUAAGAUUUGAUCAUUAUUAAUCUUUAUUAGAUCAUUAUAUUUUAAGUGAUUCUGAUUAGAUGAAGCUAUUUAAUCAAAUUGAUUCUUGACUAUCCAUUAGUGUAUCAAUAUCUACUUUGAUUUAUGUCAGACACUAAUAGAUUUGAUCAUCUUUGAUCUCUAUUGGACUAUCUAUUUUCUAUUUUAAAUAUGAUUAGAUAAAAUUAUCUUAAUUAGAUCGACUAAAACGUUAGAUGCUUCCGCUUCUGAUUAGCUUUGUGGGGAUGUCAGAACUUAAUAUUUUUUAUUAGUUGUAGUUUAAGACUGAUAAAAUAAUAUAUUUUAAAUAAUAAAUUUUGAAAGAUGCUCUCAUGAUUGAUUGAAUAUGUUCGUGCAGUAUUUUAUAAAGAUAAGUAAUGAACCAACUUUCAAGAUAUUUAUAAUUUAUUUUGAAAGCAAAUAAUUGAUCUCUGAAGUUAUGCAUGAUUUAAAAAUUAUUUUUUGAAUGGAAGUAAUUGAAAAUUUUAAGAUUUUUAGAAUAUUAUGAUUUAUUGAUUUAUUAUGGAAUAUGCAUAUAUUCAAUGAAAUUAUGAUACUUAUAUAUUAUGUUGUAAAAGUGUUUUGAUAUAGAUCGAAUUUUAUUCUCUCACUUUAAUUAGGUUCUGGAUCCUACCAAUAGAGGUUAUAUAUUGAUUUUUAGAUUCUACCAAUAGGGGUUAUACAUUGAUUUUGGGAUACUGCUAGUGGAUGUUAUGUAUUGAUUUUUGGAUCCAGCCAAUGGGAGUUAUGCAUUAAUUUUUGGAUCCUACUAAUGGAGAUUAUAUAUUGGCACUCUGUUCUAGCCUUGUCAUAGGGAUAAAUAUGGUCGUAGUUAAGACUGUUAAGCUAUAUAUUUUUUAUUUUGAAUUAGAUUUAUGAUUAUGUAUGCAUAUGAGUAUUUGAAAGAUUUGAUUUGCAUUAAUUAGUAUAGAAUACAUAUUCUUAUGAUAUUCAUGGCAUUUGUUUUUGAGCAUCAUAUCUUAUGAUAAUAUCUGAAAUAUUUAAUAAGAUAUUCAUUAUUUACUAGACUAUCGAGCUCAUUACCUCUUCUUUCUUUUCAGAUUCAGAUUCUUAAUUAUGGAUAUUGAUACUAUUUUUGGAGUAAGUUAGAAGCAAGAGCCGAUAGUAUCAAUAGAGUUUAGACAAAGAUUUAUUAUAAUAUUUUACAAGAUUAUUAUUCAAAAUUUAAUUGAUAUAAGAUCUUUUGAAUAUUAUUAAAAUUUUAUUAGAGAUAAAAGUUAAUUUUGGUUAGUUAAAUUUUAGACUUAAUUUAUUAUAAAUUUCACUGUGAUGUAUUAAUAUCGUGUUUGGAAUACCUUGCAUGCUUAUGAAGAGAGUUCUCCAGAAAUAUGCGGAUGGUUAUCGUAAGCCAGGGUUACGACAACCAUCAUAUAUUCAUAGAGAACUUUCUCCACAAAUAUGUAAGACAUUCCAAACAUGAUAUCAAUAUAUCAUAAUAGAAUUCAUAAUAAAUUAAUUUUAAAAUUAAACUAACUAAAAUCAAUUUUUAUCUCUCACAAAAUUUGAAUAACAUUCAAAAGAUCUUUCAUUAAUUAAAUCUUGAAUAAUAAUCUUGUAAAAUAUAAUAAUAAGUCUAUUUUUAUACUCGAUUGAUACUAUCGACUCUUGCUUCUAACUCACUCCCAAAGUAAUAUCCACGUCCAUAAUUAAGAAUCUGAAUCUGCAAAAAAAGGAAAGGUGAUAAACUUGAUAGUCUAGUAAGUAAUAAAUAUCUCAACUAGAUAUUUUAGAUAUUAUCAUAAGAUAUGAUGCUUAAAAAUAAGUGCUAUGAAUAUCAUAAGAACAUAUAUUCCAUGCCAAUUAAUAUAAAUUAAAUCUUUUCAAGUACUCAUAUACAUACAUAAUCAUAAAUCCAAUUCAAAAUAAAAUACAUAUAACUCAACCAUACUUAUUUCUAUGGCAGGGUCAGAAUAAAGUGAUAAUAUACAAUCCCACUGGCAGGGUCCAAAAAUCAAUAUAUAACUUUCACUAGCAAGGUCCAAAAAUCAAUACAUAACUCCACUGGCAGAGUGCAAAAAAUCAAUGUAUAACCUCGAUUGGCAAAAUUCGAAAACCAACGUAUAACCUCUAUUGGUAGGAUCCAAAAUAUAAUUAGGUUAAGAAUACAAAAUUCAAUUCGUAUUAAAAUACUUUUGCAACAGAAUAUAUAAGUACCAUAAUUUUAUUGAACAUAUGCAUAUUCUAUAAUAAAUCAAUAAAUCAUAAUAUUUCAAAAAUCUCAAAUUUUACGAUCACUUUCAUUCAAAAAAUUAUUGUUAAAUCAUGCAUAACUUCAAAGAUCAAUUAUUUGCUUUCAAAAUAAAUUAUGAAAUAUCUUGAAAAGACAGUUUACUAUUUAUCUCUGUAGAUCACUGAAUGGUUAGAUUCAGUCAAUCUUGAGAGAAUCUUUCAGAACCAAUUAUUUAAAAUAUAUUCUUCUAUCAGUCUUAAACCGUAAUUAAUAAAAAAUCCUAAGUUACGACAUCCUCGCAAAAUUGAUCAGAAAUGGUAGCAUCCAACGUCUUAGUUAGUCUAAUCAAAAUAAUUUUAUCCGAUCAUGCUUAGAAUAAGAAGCAGAUGGUCCAAUAAAGAUCAAGGGUGAUCAAAUCUAUUAGUGUCCGAUAAAAAUCAAAGUAGAGGUCAGUACACCAAUUGAGAGUCAGGAAUUAAUUUGAUCAAGUAGCUUUAUUUAAUCAGGAUCAUUUAAAAUAUGAUUAUCUAAUAAAGAUCAACAAGGAUCAAAACUUGUGAUACUAGAUAAAGGCUUGGAUGGUGUGGGCAUGUUGUCUAAUUGAAAAAGUAGUUCGAAAUCCUCUUUUUGAAUCAACUCAUAUUUAAAGCAACAGGUCAGGUUUACUGGUUUCAUAAAUCACGU